rnacentral:misc_RNA from 1 species
CACCACUCAAGCCUCGCUUGGUAUUGGGCAACGCGGUCCGCCGCGUGCCUCAAAUCGACCGGCUGGGUCUUCUGUCCCCUAAGCGUUGUGGAAACUAUUCGCUAAAGGGUGUUCGGGAGGCUACGCCGUGAAACAAACCAAUUUUUCAAU